ensembl:processed_transcript
GAGCAGACAGUCAGACCAGACAGGUUGACCUCUCCUGGAUCCUCCAGCCAUGCGGCUCCUCUGGGGGCUGGCUUGGGUGUUCAGCUUCUGUGCCUCAUCCCUGCAGAAGCCCAGGUUGCUCCUGUUUUCCCCUUCUGUGGUUAAUUUGGGGACUCCCCUGUCNNNNNGAGGAGAGAUGGAGGAGGCAGAACUCACGUCCUGGCGCUUUGUAUCAUCUGCCUUUUCCUUGGAUCUCAGCCGCACUAAGCGGCAUCUCGUGCCUGGAGCCCACUUCCUGCUGCAGGCCUUGGUCAGAGAAAUAUCAGGCUCUGAAGCCUCUAACGUUAUUGUCAAAGUUUCUCCCACAUUGGUGUCAGGCUCUGAUUCCCAAGUCCUCAACGUUCAACAGAGCACCAAUAGAAUUGGCCAAGUCAGCAUUUCCUUCCCCAUCCCACCAACCGUCACAGGACUUCGGCUCUUGGUGUCUGCGGGCUCCCUCUACCCAAUGAUAGCCAGGCUCACCGUGCAAUCCCCACCUUCAAGAGGCACUGGCUUUCUUUCUAUUGAGCCACUAGACCCUCGGUCCCCUCGUGUGGGGGACACCUUUAUCCUAAACUUACAAGCUGUGGGCAUCCCUGCACCUACCUUCUCUCAUUACUACUACAUGAUCAUCUCCAGAGGCCAGAUCAUGGCUAUGAGUCGGGAGGCCCGGAGGACCGUGACCUCUGUCUCCGUGUUGGUGGACCAUCAGCUGGCUCCUUCAUUCUACUUCGUGGCUUACUUCUAUCACCAAGGACACCCGGUGGCCAACUCUCUGCUCAUCAACAUCCAGCCCAGGGACUGUGAGGGCAAGCUGCAAUUGAAGGUAGUUGGUGCCAAGGAGUAUCAUAAUGGGGACAUGAUGAAGCUCCGAAUUCAAACUGACUCCAAAGCCCUGGUGGCACUGGGAGCUGUGGACACCGCUCUGUAUGCUGUGGGCGGUUGGUCUCACAAACCCCUCGACAUGAGCAAGGUCUUUGAAGUAAUCAACAGCUACAAUGUUGGCUGUGGUCCUGGAGGUGGGGAUGAUGCCCUUCAGGUGUUCCAGGAUGCUGGUCUGGCCUUUUCUGAUGGUGAUCGACUAACUCAAACCAGAGAGGAAGUCGGCAAAAGAGAAAUGUUAACUUCCUGAAGGCUCUUAGUGAGAAGUUGGGCCAGUAUUCUUCUCCAGAUGCCAAGCGCUGCUGCCAAGACGGGAUGACGAAGCUGCCCAUGAAGCGUACCUGUGAGCAGCGGGCUGCCCGUGUGCCUCAGCAGGCCUGCCGUGAGCCCUUCUUGUCCUGUUGCAAGUUUGCUGAGGACCUUCGCAGGAACCAGACCAGGAGCCAGGCACCCCUUGCCCGAAAGGUCCGGGACAUGGUGAAUUUGAUAGAGGAAGAUGACAUUCUUGUGCGCACCUCCUUCCCAGAGAACUGGCUCUGGAGAGUGGAACCUGUAGACAGCUCCAAACUGUUGACAGUGCGGCUUCCUGAUUCUAUGACCACAUGGGAGAUUCAUGGUGUGAGCCUGUCCAAAAGCAAAGGUCUGUGUGUAGCCAAGCCAACUCGUGUUCGAGUGUUCAGAAAAUUCCACCUUCACCUGCGCCUGCCCAUCUCCGUCCGCCGCUUUGAGCAGCUUGAAUUACGGCCUGUUCUCUACAACUAUCUGAAUGAUGACAAGAACGUGAGUGUCCAUGUGACCCCAGUGGAGGGCCUGUGCAUGGCUGGUGGUGGAAUGAUGGCCCAGUGGGUGAUAGUGCCUGCAGGCUCUGCCCUGCCUGUGGCCUUCUCUGUGGUACCCACAGCUUCUACCAACGUGCCCCUGAAAUUGGUGGCUAAAGGGACUUUGGAUUCAAGCGAUUCUGUGUCUAAGAUUCUCCAAAUUGAGAAGGAAGGAGCCAUCCACAGAGAAGAGAUAGUCUACAACCUCGACCCCCUAAAUAACCUAGGUCAGAUGUUGGAGAUACCUGGCAGCUCGGAUCCCAACAUAGUCCCUGAAGGAGACUUCAGCACCUUUGUCAAGGUUACAGCCUCUGAACCCUUGGAGACUCUGGGCUCUGAAGAAGCUUUGUCCCCAGGAGGCGUGGCCUCCCUCCUGAGGCUUCCCGGAGCUGCGCAGAGCAAACCAUGAUCUAUUUGGCUCCUACCCUGACUGCUUCCAACUACCUGGACAGGACAAAACAGUGGAGCAAACUGUCCCCUGAGACCAAGGACCAUGCUGUGCAUCUGAUCCAGAAAGGCCACGUUCGGAUCCAGCAGUUUCGGAAGAAAGAUGGCUCUUUUGGGGCUUGGUUACACCGGGACAGCAGCACCUGGCUGACUGCCUUCGUGCUGAAGAUUCUGAGUUUGGCCCAGGAACAGGUGGGCAACUCCCCGGAGAAGCUGCAGGAGACGGCUAGCUGGCUGCUGGCCCAGCAGCUGGGUGAUGGCUCCUUCCACGACCCAUGUCCAGUCAUCCACAGAGCAAUGCAGGGGGGCUUGGUGGGGUCUGACGAGACAGUGGCACUGACCGCCUUUGUGGUCAUUGCCCUUCACCAUGGGUUGGACGUCUUCCAGGAUGACGAUGCGAAGCAGCUGAAGAACAGAGUGGAAGCCUCCAUCACCAAGGCAAACUCAUUCUUGGGGCAGAAGGCAAGUGCUGGGCUCCUGGGUGCCCAUGCCGCCGCCAUCACAGCCUAUGCCCUUACGCUGACCAAGGCCUCGGAGGACCUGCGGAAUGUUGCCCACAACAGCCUGAUGGCCAUGGCUGAGGAAACAGGGGAACACCUCUACUGGGGCUUAGUCCUUGGCUCUCAGGACAAAGUUGUGUUGCGCCCCACAGCCCCCCGUAGCCCUACAGAACCUGUGCCCCAGGCCCCAGCCUUGUGGAUCGAAACCACAGCCUAUGCCCUGCUCCACCUGCUUCUGCGGGAGGGAAAGGGAAAAAUGGCUGACAAGGCUGCAUCCUGGCUCACCCACCAGGGAAGCUUCCAUGGGGCAUUCCGCAGUACCCAGGACACUGUGGUCACCCUGGAUGCCCUGUCUGCCUACUGGAUCGCUUCGCACACCACUGAGGAGAAAGCACUGAACGUGACGCUCAGCUCCAUGGGCCGCAAUGGGCUUAAGACCCACGGGCUACACUUGAACAACCACCAAGUCAAGGGCCUGGAGGAGGAGCUAAAGUUCUCCCUGGGCAGCACAAUCAGUGUCAAGGUGGAAGGAAACAGCAAAGGCACCUUGAAGAUCCUUCGUACCUACAAUGUCCUGGACAUGAAGAACACCACAUGCCAGGACCUUCAGAUAGAAGUGAAGGUCACAGGCGCUGUGGAAUACGCAUGGGAUGCCAAUGAAGACUACGAAGACUACUAUGACAUGCCAGCCGCAGAUGACCCCAGCGUCCCCUUGCAGCCUGUCACGCCCCUGCAGCUUUUUGAGGGUCGUAGGAGCCGCCGCAGGAGGGAGGCCCCCAAGGUGGUCGAAGAGCAGGAGUCCAGAGUUCAGUACACUGUGUGUAUCUGGCGAAAUGGCAAGCUGGGGCUGUCUGGCAUGGCCAUCGCAGACAUCACCCUCCUAAGUGGAUUCCACGCCCUGAGGGCUGACCUGGAGAAGCUGACCUCUCUCUCUGACCGUUACGUGAGUCACUUUGAGACUGACGGGCCCCAUGUCCUGUUGUACUUUGACUCGGUCCCUACCACCCGGGAGUGUGUGGGCUUUGGAGCCUCACAGGAGGUGGUUGUGGGACUGGUGCAGCCAGCCAGCGCUGUCCUGUAUGACUACUACAGCCCUGAUCACAAGUGCUCUGUGUUUUAUGCUGCACCCACCAAGAGCCAGCUCCUGGCCACACUGUGCUCUGGAGAUGUAUGCCAGUGCGCUGAGGGGAAGUGCCCUCGACUGCUAAGGUCACUGGAGCGAAGGGUGGAGGACAAGGACGGCUACCGGAUGAGGUUCGCCUGCUAUUAUCACCAAGUGGAGUAUGGCUUCACGGUUAAGGUUCUUCGAGAAGAUGGCAGAGCUGCCUUCCGUCUCUUUGAGUCCAAGAUCACCCAAGUCCUGCAUUUCAGAACGGACACCAUGGCCUCCAUAGGUCAGACCCGCAACUUCCUGAGCCGGACCUCUUGCCGCCUUCGUUUGGAGCCUAACAAAGAGUACUUGAUCAUGGGGAUGGACGGGGAAACCAGUGACAACAAGGGAGACCCCCAGUACUUGCUGGACUCAAAUACCUGGAUUGAGGAGAUGCCUUCAGAACAAAUGUGCAAGAGCACCCGCCAUCGGGCAGCCUGUUUCCAGCUCAAAGACUUCCUGAUGGAGUUCAGCAGCCGGGGGUGCCAGGUGUGAGGCCUUAGGACUCUGGCUCUCUGAGCUCAGCUCAGGGUUAGGGCCUCACUGGAUUAGAGGCUCUGCUCUACAGGGUAAAUAAAAGAAAAGCUUUUUGACAGCC